rnacentral:rRNA from 1 species
UACGUAGGUGGCAAGCGUUAUCCGGAAUUAUUGGGCGUAAAGCGCGCGCAGGUGGUUCUUUAAGUCUGAUGUGAAAGCCCCCGGCUCAACCGGGGAGGGUCAUUGGAAACUGGGGAACUUGAGUAAAGAAGAGGAAAGUGGAAUUCCACGUGUAGCGGUGAAAUGCGUAGAGAUGUGGAGGAACACCAGUGGCGAAGGCGACUUUCUGGUCUAUAACUGACACUGAGGCGCGAAAGCGUGGGGAGCAAACAGG